GACGAACGCUGGCGGCGUGCCUAAUACAUGCAAGUCGAACGAGGUCUCCCUCGGUGGCAACACCUUGGGGGUACCUAGUGGCGAACGGGUGAGUAACACGUGAGGAACCUGCCCCGAAGACCGGGAUAACCAGAGGAAACCCUGGCUAAUACCGGAUGCCCCCACCGGAUCGCAUGGUCUGGUGAGGAAAUGGAUUCCGCUUCGGGAGGGCCUCGCGGCCUAUCAGCUUGUUGGUGGGGUAACGGCCCACCAAGGCGUCGACGGGUAGCUGGUCUGAGAGGACGAUCAGCCACACUGGGACUGAGACACGGCCCAGACUCCUACGGGAGGCAGCAGUAGGGAAUCUUGCGCAAUGGGCGAAAGCCUGACGCAGCAACGCCGCGUGCGGGAUGAAGGCCUUCGGGUUGUAAACCGCUUUCAGCAGGGACGAAAAUGACGGUACCUGCAGAAGAAGCCCCGGCCAACUACGUGCCAGCCGCCGCGGUAAAAC
rnacentral:rRNA from 1 species